rnacentral:misc_RNA from 1 species
AUGUAAUACUUAAUAAAUCACAACACUUCCAAUAACCAUAAAAGGGCUAAUAAACUUGAUUGUAAAUUUUUAUAUGUUUAAACAUUCAAUUGCACCAGCAAAAAAGGGGGUAGGGAGAAAUUCAGGCACUUCAUAGAAAAUUAUAAAAAUUUUAGGCACCAAAAAUGCUAUUAUCUCAAACUCUUGCCCUACAAAAAGGGUAUUCUGAUUUUCAACCCAAAUCGUUAAGUCCCAAAAUUGACUCAGCGGCCAUCUUGUUCAAACAUGGUUACUAUAUUUUCUUUCUUGUACAUACAUUCAAAUUUAAAUAGAUCACUACACCAGACAGUGCCAACUACAGUUUGAAACUGAGGGUAUGAAAAGGGCAAUACAAAAUAACUUGGCACAUGAUUUAUAUUCACUGAGAACAAAAGGAAAUGAACACAUGAAAUAUAUUAAAGAACACUAGUUUGUUAGAAUUCCAGAACUGCCAG